AAACAUGUAAAUGCUAAGAUGUCAUAAUUGGUUUCAACGUAAAUUGGGCAAGGAAGAAAUGAAGCUCUAGAUCGAUCGAUCGAUCGCUGGGUUUUGUCUCAACGACGGAAGCGAAAUGAAAUAAAGCGAGGAAAAAAGAAAUCGAGUCAGUUUUGGCCGAGAAGAAAAGCGCAGAACUAGGUGGGGGGUUUUGUCACAAGCCUUUAGCUGAAUUUAUUGCUAUUCUAUGAAUCUCAC
rnacentral:lncRNA from 1 species